UACGUAGGGUGCAAGCGUUAAUCGGAAUUACUGGGCGUAAAGCGUGCGCAGGCGGUGAUGUAAGACAGGGGUGAAAUCCCCGGGCUUAACCUGGGAACUGCAUUUGUGACUGCAUCGCUGGAGUGCGGCAGAGGGGGAUGGAAUUCCAAGUGUAGCAGUGAAAUGCGUAGAGAUGUGGAGGAAUACCGAUGGCGAAGGCAGCCUCCUGGGCCAACACUGACGCUCAUGCACGAAAGCGUGGGGAGCAAACAGG
rnacentral:rRNA from 1 species